AACGAACGCUGGCGGCAUGCCUAACACAUGCAAGUCGAACGAGACCUUCGGGUCUAGUGGCGCACGGGUGCGUACCGCGUGGGAACCUGCCCUUAGGUUCGGAAUAACUCCCCGAAAGGGGUGCUAAUACCGGAUAAUGUCUUCGGACCAAAGAUUUAUCGCCUUUGGAUGGGCCCGCGUUGGAUUAGCUAGUUGGUAGGGUAAAAGCCUACCAAGGCGACGAUCCAUAGCUGGUCUGAGAGGAUGAUCAGCCCCACUGGGACUGAGACACGGCCCAGACUCCUACGGAGGGGAGCAGUGGGGAAUAUUGGACAAGGGGCGAAGGCCUGAUCCAGCAAUGCCGCGGGAGUGAUGAAGGCCUUAGGGUAGUAAAGCUGUUUUACCCGGGAUGAUAAUGACAGUACCGGGAAAAGAAGCUCCGGCUAACUCCGUG
rnacentral:rRNA from 1 species